CAGUUACCGGCUGGGUAAUCAGCCUUUCGGCGUGAUUAUGUGGAGCGUGAGGAGUUAAACGCCCUCAUGCCUGCAUAUUCGUGUUCUUUGGGUGUACUUACCCGCAUGGUAGGUUAACAUCAAUUUCGAACGUCAUAAAAUGGAUUGGAGGAAUGUAGCUUCCAUCUCGUAUUGAAGUGUUAUAGCCUCCGGCAGAUGUGAUGAUCAGGAUUGAGGAUUGCAACGGAUACCCUUCGGGGCUACCCGUCUGAUCUCUGAAAGUUACUCUGGUGCCGAAAGCUCGCUUACGGUCAUCAAAGUUGACGUUCAACAGGUUAAGAACGGGAUAAA
rnacentral:rRNA from 1 species